ACAUGGCGGAUGGUGGAGGCUGGCGGCCGCCGCGCCCCUGCGAAGUCUACGGCGCGGAGUGGAAGCUCUGCCGCAGCGCCAGACACUUCCUGCACCACUACUACGUCCACGGCGAACGGCCGGCCUGCGAGCAGUGGCGGCGCGACCUGGCCAGCUGCCGGGAGUGGGAGGAGCGCCGGAGCGCGGAGGCCCAGCGGUCCCUCUGUGAGAGCGAGCGUGCAAGAGUCCAGGCUACACGGAAGCACGCCCUGGUGUGGGCCCUGAGGCAGAGCCCUCCUGCAGACUGGCACCUCCCUCUACCACAAGAGGAGAAAGACCAGUGAUGAGCACUCCGGAACGGCUUCCUCUCAUCUGUUUGAAGUGGGGCUGUCGCCCUAAGGACAGUGACCGGCUCAGUCUAGUGGGUCCCUGAAUUUUCCACACGGCUUAGAACACAGAGCCUGGGGUCUCCAGCCCUCCUUGCCCACCCCCGCUGCUGCCUUGCUCUGGCAGACAAUCUCGCCCACCGCACAGCUCCCAGGAUGCCAAACACCACCGCAGAUCCCAGUGAGCAGCCAGGUCAGGCCAGUUCAUGCUCCACUCCCAGGGACAACAGCAUUCUCAGGGCUGGAGGCUGCCCGCCACUGAAUGCGCUCUCUGUGAGGAAGUCUUAGUGACAGAUAUCAUUGCUGCACAGAAUGUUCCUACGUCUGCUCCUGUUUUAACUUUUAACUCCCAACAUCUGAGCACCUGCUACACUGCCCGGUGGGGCCUUUGGCUCUGGGAUUGCACUCUUGAGCACCUGCUACACUGCCCGGUGGGGCCUUUGGCUCUGGGAUUGCACUCUUGAAAUGGGCAAGUUGCCUUCAAAGAGCUCCAGUUGAGUUUAGGGGCCUGACAUAAACAUUUAAACAUCAUUAAAUAAGUCUAAAAUAAUGGUAAGUGCUGUGAAGAAAAUGGGCAGGGAGAAGAUAGAGCAGCUCUCAAAUUUUUUGCAUGAAACCCGUAACAAGUUUUAUGAUCUGGUACAUACUUUAUAUGCUACAUAUAUGAUUGAAAUAAGCCUCACAAAACAGUCCUUAUCUGUACAAGGCGUGAUACACUGACAUUUGCAGUUCUGUGCCACUGAAAAGAAACUGCUGUAUGUGCAGCAGCUUGGGUGAAGCUCAAGUAAAUUAUACCGAGCUAAAAAAUCUUAAAUGGGUGCAUAUGACACAGUUGCAUUUAUGUAACAUUGGUGAAAUGAUGUAAUAAUAGGGAUGGAGAAUGGCUAAUGGUGCCAAGGGUUAGGGAUGGAAGGAGGGUGUGGAUGUGGAUAGGGUACAUAAGGGGAUCCUGUGGUAAUGGAACCUUGACUCCUACAGAGCUGCAUGUGUGAUGGAAUUGUGCAAUGCUAGACAUACACACAGGUGAGUGCAGACACAGUGGGAAACCUGAAUGCAUUCUGGGCUCUGCCUAUGUCAGUCUCUUUCUCACACACUGUAUGUGGCGUGUAAGAUGUUAACACUUGGGGAGGCUGGGAGAACCACAUACAGCCUCUCCUUGCAUCUUUAUUUCCAGCCUCCUAUAAAUCUGUAACUGCUUCAAAAUAAAAAGUUAUA